GGCUUAUAACCUAUGUGGAUUAGAGAACACUGCAGUAUGGAUCCAUUGGGGCUAACCACGAGCCGAUCGUGGUGCUUGUGAUUAGAUUUGAAUGGAUUUGAACUUUUAGCCUAAUGAGGACGUCAGAGUUUAAACGGAGGGAGGAUGUGAAGAUCCGUGCGGGCGUGUGUUAAGUCCCACAUCGGUUAUUCGCUGGAUAGAUCUUAAAAUACUUAUACAGGAUCAAGAAACCCAAAUAAUAUUUUCUGGCUAGCCAUUUGGGUGAGGUUUUGGGUUGUUACAAAAGUCAUCUCAUACACACCAGAUCACAAUAUUCAAGAAAGGAAAAAAAAUUCACUACAGAUUCUAAAUCCAUGGUUAUGAAAUUCUCAAUUGGAUUCUUGGUUAACUAAAUUGUAUAUUAUGAUAUCAAGUUUCAGGAAUUCCUUAUUAAUCCCCCGUUUUUCCUAGCAAAGUUGAGUUAACUUAUCCUAUAAUUUCCUGAAAUAAAUUUGAAUCUGAACAAAUUCAUGCCUUUUAUGUCCUAGAUCAAGAUAAUUUUUCCCAGUAAAUAAUAUUGCUAAAUCUUAUAAUUCCAAUGUAAGAAUAAGUUUAUUAUAAUACUUUGAUAGCCGCUGAACCAUAUAACAUCUAAUAAUAGAAUAGAAAAGCUGAAAAUGUCACAUCAUACAUAAGUGGGAUGAAGGCAAAGCUCAGAAACAAAAGAAAGCAACUAUAAUAAAUUCACGACCACUACAUGCUCCUCGCUAGAGGCAUAAAUCAUCAAAAGCAACAAUGAUUGGUCCCCUUCUCAUCCGCUCCCCACCUUAUCACCUCAAGUGGAUCCACCCUGUUCUUAGCUUCUCACAAGUUUGAUCUAUUAUGUUUUCAACCAAUGUUCCUAUAAUACCCAUAUUUUCUCUUAAUUUGUCUUGUCAUGGACAAGCUAGGUACACCCUCAAGAACUUUAUAGCUUACAACUUCAAUCUGCAAACAGUUACCAAACUAUGCGAAUUUGGCUCUUUACAGAUUGAAUAUGAUCUACCAACCUUGGAGGGCCAAUGCAUAGAUGCAGAACAUAGUAAUCGAAUAUUCUACAUAAGGUGCCCUAUUUUCAUCCAAAUAUCCCUCUCUCUCACACGCAAUUCCUAGGUGCUUCCUCACUAUUCUUUUUCUAAAGAGCUUCACCUCACUGCUCCUGCAUCUGCUCAUAUUUCAAUGUUGACCAAGUUGCUCUUGGCCCAGUUAUUUUUGUCCAAAGAGUAUAAAUAAUUAUACCGUCAAUAUAACAUAUAGUUUUGGAUUCAGUUUCUGGAGUCCAAUCAAAUUAUACUCCUGUCAUGCCCAAAAGCUCUUUUCUAUCUGACUUUUUCCAAGUCACACUGGUGAUGGCUUAACAAUUUAUGAUUAUUAUGUGUAUCUCUCUUUUCCACUUAUGUGUUGUAUACCUCCUUACUGUCAUUUCCUGUACUUUAUAGCAAAUAUAUUUCAUUUAUUUUACCAACUAGAACAAAUAGAAAUACAAAAAAUUACAUAAGCAAAAAAGAAUUACACUGGAAGCAUGUCCAUCAUCAUUUUGUUUAUAGUACAUCAUGGUCAAAUGAAUCAUCAUUCAAAAAUAUAGUUAUGUUUAGACUUUAGACAGUAUGUUUGUGACACUAGACCAAUACUGGUAAUUUGGUACUCUUGUAAGACAUUGUUGUACACGUAUAACAGAUGGCACAGAACAAUACAAUUUAACUCAACCAUAAAGGAAGAUUUAGUAAAAAACAAUGUCAUGUAAGAAACUGAGUUAUGAAUUACAUUGCUCGCAGACUUUUAUGGCCAAUGUUACGGCAUAGUCUGUUCCUAAAGAUACAGUAAUCUAGCUGGCAUUUAUCUCAUGCCAUCACUGUG